GUAAGUGCUGACGACCUAGAGCAGGCGGCCCAGCUGGGAGGGAGCGAGGGAGCCCUUGCUUUGGAAUUCAUGCACUUAGAAGUGAAAGCUCUCUGCCCCACCACCCUGCUGCCCCUCUUUCCCUCCCUCCUUCUCUCCAGCCCCCCAGCUUCCAGCAUCCCCAAGCCAGAAAGAGAGGCCUCACCAGAAAGCCAACCCUGAUGGCAUCUUGACCUUGGACCUCCAGCCUCCAGAACUGGCCUGGAGCUGUCCCUUUGCAAAGUCAGAGGAGAUAAGGCCUUGGCUCCCAGUGCCCGGGGAGAAGAUGGGCCCGAACUGUCAUCUGACUCCUCGUUGUGAAACCUGCAGAUGUAAUUCAUGUACCCACUGAGCAGCCUAAGAACGAGGCUACUUCCUGUCUGCAUCCCUUCAGCAGACUGCCUGCCAUACCCAUCACAUUCUGGUUUAACGCUUGCUCAAUAGUCAAACCGUUUUCUUUCUCUUCUAUCAUCAUGGAGAGGUUUUCGGCCUUAGGAGCAGAUUUUGUUUUCAAUCUCUUCCCCACACUUUGCACAGCACCGGGAAUGAAUCUCAUGUCAGGGACAGGCAGAGACACGAAUCCUCCUAUUGACCCGAAGAAGGCAGUCCAGGCCCAGCGGUCUGCGGCUUCUCUCCCAAAGUUUUCAGCUGCUGAUUUUUUUUUAAGAUUGAUUUAUUUAUUUUUGGCUGUGCUGGGUCUUCAUUGCUGUGUGGGGGCUUUUCUCUGUGGUGAGCGGGAGCUGCUCUCUGGUUGCCGUGCGUGGGUCUCUCAUUGUGGUGGCUGCUCUUGUGGUGGAGCCCCGGUUCUGGGGCUUCAGCAGUUGCGGCACAUGGGCUCAGCAGUUGCAGUUUUUGGUCUCUAGCUCACAGGCUCAGUAGUUGUGGUGCAUGGGCUUAGUUCCACAUGCUCCUUGGCAUGUGGAAUCUUCCCAGAUCAGGGACAAAAUGCAGUCUCCUGCAUUGGCAGGUGGAUUCCUACCCACUGGCAGUGGUGGUUUAGUCCCUAAGUCGUGUCUGAUUCUUGUGACCCCAUGAACUGUAGCUCGCCAGGCUCCUCUGUCCAUAGGAUUUUCCAAUCAAGAAUGCUGGAGUGGGUUGCCAUUUCCUUCUCCAGGGUAUCUUCCCAACCCGGGGAUCAAACCUGAGUCUAAUACACUGCAGGCAGAUUCUUUACCGACUGAGCUACCAGGGAAGCCCAGGGGCCACCAGGGAAGCCCCCAGCUGCUGAAUUUCUUACUUGUGGGUUUUGAAUUGUAGGCAGAACAUGCUCUGUGAGCAUCAAAAUAUUGAGCCUAAGUCUACAGG
ensembl:lncRNA